GCACAAGCAGCGGAGCGUGUGGUUUAAUUCGAUGCUACACGAAGAACCUUACCAAGGUUUGACAUGCAAGUGGUAGGAAACUGAAAGGGACCGACCUUCGGGGAGCUUGCACAGGUGCUGCAUGGCUGUCGUCAGCUCGUGUCGUGAGAUGUUCGGUUAAGUCCGCUAACGAGCGCAACCCUCGCUGUGUGUUAUAUGUGUCACACGGGACUGCCGGUUUUAAGCCGGAGGAAGGUGAGGAUGACGUCAAGUCAGCAUGGCCUUUAUAUCUUGGGCUACACACACGCUACAAUGGGCGGAACAAUAGGUUGCCAAACCGCGAGGUGGAGCCAAUCCUUAAAUCCGUCCUCAGUUCAGAUUGCAGGCUGCAACCCGCCUGCAUGAAGAUGGAGUUGCUAGUAAACGCAGGUCAGCUAUACUGCGUUGAAUACGUUCCCGGGCCUU
rnacentral:rRNA from 1 species